rnacentral:rRNA from 1 species
UACGUGGGGGGCAAGCGUUGUCCGGAUUUAUUGGGCGUAAAGAGCGUGUAGGCGGCCAAGUAAGUCUGCUGUGAAAACUCGAGGCUUAACCUCGAGCUGUCGGCGGAAACUAUUUGGCUAGAGUCCGGAAGAGGAGAAUGGAAUUCCCGGUGUAGCGGUGAAAUGCGUAGAUAUACAGAGGAACACCAAAAUAGGCGAAGGCAGUUGACUAUGCAGUUUCUGACAUUGAGGCAUGAAAGCGUGGGGAGCAAACCGG